GAUGAACGCUGGCGGCAGGCCUAACACAUGCAAGUCGAACGGUAACAGGAAACAGCUUGCUGUUUCGCUGACGAGUGGCGGACGGGUGAGUAAUGUCUGGGAAACUGCCUGAUGGAGGGGGAUAACUACUGGAAACGGUAGCUAAUACCGCAUAACGUCGCAAGACCAAAGAGGGGGACCUUCGGGCCUCACACCCUCGGAUGUGCCCAGAUGGGAUUAGCUAGUUGGUGGGGUAAUGGCUCACCAAGGCGACGAUCCCUAGCUGGUCUGAGAGGAUGACCAGCCACACUGGAACUGAGACACGGUCCAGACUCCUACGGGAGGCAGCAGUGGGGAAUAUUGCACAAUGGGCGCAAGCCUGAUGCAGCCAUGCCGCGUGUAUGAAGAAGGCCUUCGGGUUGUAAAGUACUUUCAGCGAGGAGGAAGGCAUUAAGGUUAAUAACCUUAGUGAUUGACGUUACUCGCAGAAGAAGCACCGGCUAACUCCGUGCCAGCCGCCGCGGUAA
rnacentral:rRNA from 1 species